rnacentral:tRNA from 1 species
AACAAGGUGGCUGAAAUAUUAAGUAAUGGAUUGUAAAUCCAUAAAUAAAGGUUCAAUUCCUUUUCUUGUUA